CACGUAGGCACCAAGCGUUGUCCGGAUUUAUUGGGCGUAAAGAGCUCGUAGGCGGUUCAUUAAGUCGGGUGUGAAAACUUUGGGCUUAACCCAAAGCGUGCAUCCGAUACUGCUGUGACUUGAGUUCGGUAGGGGAGUGGGGAAUUCCUAGUGUAGCGGUGAAAUGCGCAGAUAUUAGGAGGAACACCGGUGGCGAAGGCGCCACUCUGGGCCGAAACUGACGCUGAGGAGCGAAAGCAUGGGUAGCAAACAGG
rnacentral:rRNA from 1 species